rnacentral:rRNA from 1 species
AUUGAACGCUGGCGGCAGGCCUAACACAUGCAAGUCGAACGAGUGGCGGACGGGUGAGUAAUGUCUGGGCAACUGCCUGAUGGAGGGGGCUAACUACUGGAAACGGUAGCUAAUACCGCAUACCAUUGGAUGUGCCCAGAUGGGUUUAGCUAGUAGGUGGGGGACCGGCUCACCUAGGCGACGAUCCCUAGCUGGUCUGAGAGGAUGACCAGCCACACUGGAACUGAGACACGGUCCAGACUCCGACGGGAGGCAGCAGUGGGGAAUAUUGCACAAUGGGCGCAAGCCUGAUGCAGCCAUGCCGCGUGUAUGAAGAAGGCCUUCGGGUUGUAAAGUAAUUUCAGCGGGGAGGCGUUACCCGCAGAAGAAGCACCGGCUAACUCCGUGCCAGCAGCCGCGGUAAUUC